rnacentral:lncRNA from 1 species
GUAAAUAGAUUUUUGAGAAUUUAGUGCCAAUAAUUGCCUCAUUUCAUUAAUGCAAAAAUAGACAACCCAAAACGACACUAAAUAAGAUAAUGUCUCUAAUGACACUUGGCCUUAUUACAUUUAAAAGGAAAGCAAGUAUUGGUCCCAGAAGGACCUUCUCCAAAUAGGAUGAUGUUGCCGAUCAACUCCCUCAUCUCGCACAGAUUCAACGGUAGGCAUGCUCUUUCCAGAUGUCCUCCUUUGUUUCCCUUAGCAUUCUAGCAAUUGGUGACUCCCUUCUUCAUUUUUUACCUCCAAUUCCAUCAGUCCAAUGGUGGUAGUUACAGACCACGCCGAACCUGGGCACUUCGUGCCUCAUUUUUGCAAAAGCAAACAUGUUAGGCCUUUCCCCCUUCCAGGUUCAUCUAUUUAUACAACGAUGAUUGGCACAUUGACACUUAUUUCUCCAAAUUAAUGCACACAGUCGUGAUAGUAUCCAUUGGGAUUAUGAAAACCCCGGUGGACUUUUGGAUAAGGCUCAUCUUAAAGGAUUAUUAUGUUGACAACAUAUUAAUCCGACUAGGUUUGACCAUGAUGCAUGCAUGAUUUCAAUCAGAAUAUGGUUACUAUGUAGGUCUAGACUGUUACCCUCAAGCGGACAACUUGAAGGGGAAAUACACGGAAUCGUCGACUGCAUCGCUGAUCGACUAGUUUUACCGCAAAUAAGCCUUUCCAGAUUUAUGGAUAAUAAAUUGGAAGAUUGCAACCAUUAAUCAAGAGUUGCUAUAGGAUUUAAUACACACGAGUGGAAUAUGAUGCAGAGCAUGAUUUAUGCAGCAAGAAAUAGCAUGUAGUCAAGUAUUUGCACAUAAGAAUGAUAAAUGUAGUAUUGAAGUAAUUGAAAGACAGGUACAGAAAAAGAAGGCAAGGAGACAAGUCAGUUUCAGAAUUAAUGAAUCAUAAAUGCUUGAAAAAUAAAUAGUUAAAUUCAAAUAAGGAGAAAGGGUACGGGAUAUGCUUGGACUAAUUCACAAAAGGAUAAGUUUGUCAUGGUAAGAGAUUAAUGGUAUCUUCAGUAGAGUCGCUAUGCUGUCACGCUUCUCUUUUUCCCUUUUUGACGGGGAAGUCCGGCUUAUGACAUUCAUAGGGGAAAUAACUCAUUUCCUUUAGGGAUUUGGGUAUUUGAAGAGUCAUCACCUAACGAUUAUGGUGCGUUAGGGCACCUAGAGCGAUUAAAUCUUAGACUAAUUUGCAUUACCAGAGAUUUAGAGUACAUGCUCAAAUAACCUAAAGGGAAAGGUGUUUGGCACCCCUUGUGGUCCAUAACGGUGGGUUCCGACCAAACUUAUGCAUAUGUGAAUUAGUCAUUUUAACGAAUAAACUGUUUAAGCACGUAAUUGAAAUUAAAGGCAUAUUUUUACACACGUAUGGUUCAAGUAAUGGAACAAGAGAAAUUUGAAGAACUUGUACAUAUGUAAAGAAAAAGUAAAUUCAGCAAAACAAUGAGAGUUGGAAAGAGGGGUCCUAGGUUGGUUAGCCUACAGGAUCAUACCUACACAAUGCCCGGUAAUCACUCCUUAAUGAGGGGAAACGCAUGAUAUUAGCGCGUAGUCAUCAUAUCCUUACUACCCAAUUCCCUCCCCUUGGUUAUAGCCUAAAGCAUUCUUGCAACCUUGAAAGACAUCCUAUACGUGCACUACCCAUCCCUUCCUCGUGGCUCUAGAGGUAUUUAGGAACUCUAUUUUUAGGUAGUUCUAGACUUUCCUAAGGUAUUUAAAGGAGAAAAGUCCAGGUAUCAAUCAAAACAAUUAGGAUUGCACUUAAAGGAGGAACAAUUAAAGGCUCACAUUUUACCUCCACAAGCAGAACAAAUAAAUGCACGCCUCAAACAAUUUUUUUAGGUAUUUAAGAAUUCUUUCUAGUGAUAUUAAUUAUGGAAGCAUUGGAAGUAGAUAGAUAAGCUAACUAAACCAAUUCAGAGUAUAUAAACAUGAAUUGAACUAAAUUAUUUUAAGUCUCAUAGGCAUGAUUUCUAAUUAAGCAAGGUAAAACAAACAACAUCCAGUUAACCGAAAUGAAACCCCUAUUGGCAUGGUAUCUAGUUAUUUAAAAGCUGAUUAAGAUCCUAUAGGCAUGGAUUCUAAUUGUGGAAGUAAAGCAAAGAGAAAUUAGUUUGAACCAAAGCAAAUCUCGAACAAUUGUUUUAGGUAUUUAAAAAAGCCUUAGAACAUGAUAUCUAGGUGAGAAGGAAGUAUACAGUAUUGAAUUAGGACCAAAGUGUUAAGGACCUAUUAAGCUUGACUCCUGGUUUUAGACCUGUCAAAUGUGAGCAGUCUAAAAAACAAAGCGUAGUUUAACAGUUGCAGGAUUUCGAAUCGCUCUAUAGGCAUUCCUAAGUGCAAAAAAAUGAUGUCCUAAGAGCAUGAUAUCUAUAUUGAUUAGAAAUGCAGCAAGGUAGUGAACAACUUUGAAUGGUCAACUUGAGGCCCUAUAGGUUCUUUCUAGCGAUAUUAAUUAAGGCAGCAUUGGAAACUUAUUAAAGAAGUAGACAAAUUAGUCAAAUAAACCAAUUCAGAGUAUAUGAACAUGAAUUGAACUGAACUGUUUUAAGUCUUAUAGGCAUGAUUUUUAAUUAAGCAUGCUAAAGUGAACAACAUUCAGUUAACCGAAAUUAAACUCAUAUAGGCAUGACUUCUAGCAAUGUUGGCUUAACUCCUAUAGGCAUGGUAUUUAGUUAUGUAAAAGCUGAUUUAAACCUUAUAGGCAUGGCUUCUAAUUGUGGAAGUAAAGCAAACAGAAAUUGUUUUAAGCCAAAGUAGAUCAAAUAGGCAUGUUAUCCAACAAACGUAUUUGAAUCAACAUAGACUCUAUAGGCAUGGCAUCUACCCUAUUUUACCCAUAAUAUAUAACUACCCUCCAUUUUUCACUAAUCACACCACUCUUUGUUUAUAAUAAUUAUUACAGACCAAUGACUUGAACUAAAAUUACAUAAAUAGAAUAAAAAUUAAUCUAUAGGGAGCCUGCACUAUGCCUAAAUGAUUUCCAAGCCUCAAGCAGUCUCAAAUGCCAAAGUUCAUAGCCAAUUCCAUGUCUAGGUAUGUCAGAGUUCCCUAAGGACCUCAAGAAUACUCGAAAGUGCUCACACCUAGACCUUUCUAAAAUAACAACUGAUUUAGGUGCAGUAUGCAAAGGCCAACUGUAACAUGCUGGAGUUUAGAGAGAUCUUAAGGGUCUCAAGGCAGUACACAUAUCAGAGGGCCAGACCCUAGUAUUCUAAGAGGAGGUGGAAGUGUAUAAUGGUUUGAAAGGGUUUAAUAGAAUGUUUUCAAGAUUGAAAAGAACUUCUGAAAACCAUUAGGGAUAAAAUUAUUUGAGGGAAAGUGUAAAGAAACAAAUUUGCAAUCAGAACACAGGACAUAAUAAAAAAGUUUUAGGAAGUAACUUUGGCAAGCAGCUUCCACACAAAAGAAGAAGGGUUGGGAACAUAGAGAGUACACCUUAAUUAAACACAUAGAAAAUAUGAAACAUAGAGUUUUGAGGUCUUCUUGUAAAACUAGUAGGUAGAAUGCAAGUCAUGCAGCAAAGAUCACAACAGAAAUAUGUUGAAGCCAUUCUAGGGAGAGUAAUUAACUUAGCAGGAGUGAGGCAAAAUAGGCAAAGACUUGGAUGUUGGGAAAGUAUUAACAAUGAAGGCAUAUAAAGAAGAGUUUAGGAAAAAUAGUAGUUAGUCCAAACAUUCUUAAGUUACAUAUAUAGGCAAGUUAAACAAGAUAGAAAACAAGCAAGUAAAGAGGAAACAUACUAAUUACGGGUUUGAAUAGGCAGUAUUAGACAUGCUUGGAUAAGUAGUAAACAGAAACAUGAAUAGACUUAGGACAUAUGAACUAAAGUAAUAAGUAAACACAUAGGUCUGAUUCUUAAAACUAAAUAGAAGCAUACCUAGUUAAAGAAUAAAAACACAAGCUGUGAGAAAGGUAGUGUGCAAUUCUCAGCCUUGGCUUGCAGCUGACUGAAAUUAACAGGGAUCACGAGUAGCAAAGAGAACAAAGAGAUCGGAGAGAGAGAGACAGAGAUUUUCAGAGUGUAAAAUGAUAGUUUCUCAACUAUUGUGUGUCUGAAGUGAGAAUAGGAGGGAGUUUAUAUAGUAAUCAUAAGCUUAACAAAAUAAGGAAAGGAAUCAAUUAGGUAGUAAUUAUAGAAAUUCAGGGAAUCAAUCACAUGUAAAAUUAGCAAGUCUUCCCUUUAAUUAAGGGAUAAAUUAAUGGUAAAAUCAAGACAUAUACUUAAGGACGGAAAUCAAGUACAAAGUAGGUAAUUAGGAGUGAAUGCACAUAGGUUCAAUUAAGGAAACAAUCAGUAAGAAUCAGCAAAAUAACAAAUAAUGCAAGGAAAAUUUGUCAAGGAAAACAUUUUAAUUAAACCGAGUAGAGAGGCAAGAAUCAAAAUUUUUGUUCACGGAAAAGUGUUCAGAUCAAACCCGGAAAUUAGGACUUCAAAAUAAUCAAGUCCAAUCGGAGAGAAAAUCACAUAAAGAGUUAGCAAGUUUAGGAGAUAAAAUAAGUAAGAAAUGAAUAGUAAAGAUUCGACACAUAAUAUUAACGACACAAAAAGUCGAAUCUGCACUAAUUUAAGGAUAAAGAUAUAGGUCUCAACAUGAACAAUCAUGAUGAAAACAAAUAUAUAGAAUCAGUGAAAUGUUGAACUAAGAAAUUUAAUAGAGGCAUAUUAAGACAAAAAAAUCCAUGAGACAUUCAAAUGGCUAAAGAGAAAUCACAAGAACCAAGGCAAGAACACGGUCAGUACACCGGUAGUCAAACCCACACAAAGAUUGUCAAAAAUUAGGGUUUUUAGUAUAAACGAGUUAAGGUUGUAGCAAACUUACGAAAUUAGUCAAAACACAUAAGAAGCAGAAAAUCAAACACUCAAAAAAUUACCAAAUGUUUUAGGAAACGAAAUUUUAGGAAACCCUAGUUUAGAGAAAGAUGAAAGAUCACUCAAAAAUCAUACAAUUUUUGUAAAGAAUCACAAGGUUACUGUAAAAUUAAUAUGAAAAAAGUUUAAAUUAUCUUAGAUCUAUACAUAUAUAAGAGGUUCAGAAGAAAGGAAUUAGGGUUUCGAGGUGAACAACACAGAGAUAAAGAAAAAUACUUAGAAACCCAUAGAUCAUAGUUGAUGUAAGACGAUCUUACUCGAAAUCACAUUAGAACAGCCCGGAACAAGUGAGAAAGGGGUCCUAGAUGCAAGCCAACUAACCCUAGUCCCUUGAGUACCUUGGAGAUGGCAAUACCAGCACGAGAGAGGCUACUAGAGGCUUGGGGGUAGUAAGAAACCACUAUAGAUAGCAAUAGAUGAAUGACAGCGAGGUCUGAUUAGGGUUAGGUUUGAGAGCAUCUGAGAGAAGAGGGGGAUUUCAG